rnacentral:tRNA from 15 species
UAGCCAAGUGGAUUAAGGCAGUGGAUU